rnacentral:rRNA from 1 species
CCCUUAGAUGUUCUGGGCCGCACGCGCGCUACACUGAUGCAUUCAACGAGUCUAAAACCUGCUCUGAUAGGGGUGGGUAAUCUUUUGAAUGUGCAUCGUGAUUGGGAUAGAUGAUUGCAAUUUUUCAUCUUCAACGAGGAAUGCCUAGUAAACGCAAGUCAUCAGCUUGCAUUGAUUACGUCCCUGCCCUUUGUACACACCGCCCGUCGCUCCUACCGAUUGAAUGAUCCGAUGAAUAUCAUGGAUUGAGGAUGCAAGUAGGUUAGCCGAUCUUCAUCUUCGAGAAGUGAAGUAAAUCUUAUCAUUUAGAGGAAGGAGAAGUCGUAACA